rnacentral:rRNA from 1 species
GUAUAUUGACCGUGCAAAGGUAGCAUAAUCAUUAGUCUAUUAAUUGUGGACUUGUAUGAAUGGUUGGACGAAAUAUUAGCUGUCUCAUUUUUAAUAAUUAAAAUUUAAAUUUUAAGUUAAAAUGCUUAAAUGUUUUUAUGGGACGAGAAGACCCUAUAGAUCUUUAUUUUUAAUAGUGUUUAUUUUAUUUAGAUUAUUUUUUAUAAAUAUCUAUUAAAUAUUUUGUUGGGGUGACAUGGAGAUUUAUUUAACUCUUUAUUUUAUUAUUCAUUUAUUUAUGUUUAAAUGACCUUUUAUUAUUGUUUUAAGAUAUAGAUACCUUAGGGAUAACAGCGUAAUUCUUUUUGAGAGUUCUUAUUGACAAAAGAGAUUGCGACCUCGAUGUUGGAUUAAGAUUAUAAUUAGGUGUAGGUGCUUAAUUGUUAGGUCUGUUCGACCUUUAAAUUCUUACAUGAUCUGAGUUCAAACCGGAG